rnacentral:rRNA from 1 species
ACGCUACGACAGGCUACACCUGCAGUUAGGGGCAGCGCGGGAGUAGCAUACUUUUGGCGGCGACCGGCGCACGGGUGAGUAACGCGUAUGCAAUCUACCUACAACAGAGGGAUAACCCGUUGAAAGACGGACUAAUACCUCAUAAUACAGGGGCACCGCAUGGUGGUAUUUGUUAAAGAUUUAUCGGUUGUAGAUGAGCAUGCGUUCCAUUAGGUAGUUGGUAAGGUAACGGCUUACCAAGCCUGCGAUGGAUCGGGGAACUGAGAGGUUGAUCCCCCACACUGGGACUGAGACACGGCCCAGACUCCUACGGGAGGCAGCAGUGAGGAAUAUUGGUCAAUGGACGAGAGUCUGAACCAGCCAAGUCGCGUGAAGGAAGACGGUUCUAUGGAUUGUAAACUUCUUUUAUACAGGGGGUAAAACACAGGAUGUAUCCUGUCUUGCAAGUACUGUAUGAAUAAGCAUCGGCUAACUCCGUGCCAGCAGCCGCGGUAAUACGGAGGAUGCGAGCGUUAUCCGGAUUUUAUUGGGUUUAAAGGGUGCGUAGCGGGAGCUUAAGUCAGCGGUGAAAAGUUUUGAGGCUCAACCUUUAAAAUUGCCGUUGAAACUGGGUUUCUUGAGAGUAGAUGAAGUAGCGGAAUCCGUGUGUACGGCGAAA